rnacentral:rRNA from 1 species
UUAUGACGUACUUGUACUGAUUGAGAUUUUAACACGAAGUGAGUGGCGAACGGGUGAGUAACACGUGGGUAACCUGCCCAGAAGUAGGGGAUAACACCUGGAAACAGAUGCUAAUACCGUAUAACAGAGAAAACCGCAUGGUUUUCUUUUAAAAGAUGGCUCUGCUAUCACUUCUGGAUGGACCCGCGGCGUAUUAGCUAGUUGGUGAGGUAAAGGCUCACCAAGGCAGUGAUACGUAGCCGACCUGAGAGGGUAAUCGGCCACAUUGGGACUGAGACACGGCCCAGACUCCUACGGGAGGCAGCAGUAGGGAAUCUUCCACAAUGGACGCAAGUCUGAUGGAGCAACGCCGCGUGAGUGAAGAAGGGUUUCGGCUCGUAAAGCUCUGUUGUUAAAGAAGAACGUGGGUAAGAGUAACUGUUUACCCAGUGACGGUAUUUAACCAGAAAGCCACGGCUAACUACGUGCCAGCAGCCGCGGUAAUACGUAGGUGGCAAGCGUUAUCCGGAUUUAUUGGGCGUAAAGCGAGCGCAGGCGGUCUUUUAAGUCUAAUGUGAAAGCCUUCGGCUCAACCGAAGAAGUGCAUUGGAAACUGGGAGACUUGAGUGCAGAAGAGGACAGUGGAACUCCAUGGG